ACGUCUGUGAUUGGCGCUCGAUGAAUAUCGUGAACCGAGGAGAGUCACGGACGGUAUCGAUUCGAUUAUCGAACGGGCAUAUCGAAAAAGUGCAAGUUCGUUGGGUGGAUGAUCGCCGCGGUGUCGCCGAAUCGAACGUUUCCCGCGGUUCAACAAACAGCACAGCCCUUUCGGAGCACAUCAAUGAAAAACGAUGUGCGUCCGAACAAGCUAAGGAAUACCACCUCCACCUUCCACCUCCGCGCACUGUCCUAAUCCCUGAGCUGUCCUGAUCGUCGUCGCCGACGAGCGUACCGCGUAUAUCGCGCACGCCGACUAAUUUUCGGGACGAACUUUCCGGUUCGGUGUCUUGUAUUGGACUGUGCAGAAGUGGCACCUUCCAGUUUCUGAACUUACAUCUUGUCAGAACUAUAUCCUCUGAAUCGAAGCACGGUCGACCUUUCUUCGUUUCCAACGCAUCGAUCGGUAAAAACUGGACCAAGUUUCUCGCUGAGUGGAGGGUGAUUCGGAAACGAAACUCAAGGAGAUCCCGAACUUUCAUUAAGCGUGCGCGAAAAGAAACAGAGAAGCGAACGAGAGUCUCAAGGAUGGCGAAAGGAGGAGCUGCAUUGGCGUGGAGAUUGAGAAAUUUUCAAAUUUCAAAUACACGGUCCGCUCUACUCUCAUCAUAUUCUCUUUUCAUAUCAAACGAACACUGUAUCCUUUUUUCCUCGGUAUUCUACUUUUCUCUUUUCUCUGGUUCGUUCUCCUUCAAGUAAUGAUAUUAAAACAAGCAACGAUGCUAUCACGCGAUAAUGUUGUAUCGUCUGGAAAUGCAGCAAGGUUUCUUCUCUUUUCGAUAUCUCCGGGAAACAGGUGCGCGCAUUCCCGCGCCAUUUUUCAUACGGAUUUUCAUCCUCAAGGACGACGAAAGGCUGUUCAACCCUUUUCUGUAUCAAAACCAACAUAUAGAGUGUCGUCUAAAAAGCAACGUUUAAAAAUCAUUUAAAACAAUUACAUAUUAUUUUCAGUAGUUCCUUUUUAAAUAAUCAGAAAGCAAAAUAUUUAUAAUUGCAAGUGAAAUUAUUUUCAAACAGUAAAUACCAAUGGGUGCUGUUUCAUCCUUUUGCACCCUCGUCUGAUCUGUUAUUCCCUACUAAAUUCUGAACACGAUUUUCUAUAAUCUUUUAUCUAGUUAUCCACUGCAAAAUCAUAGAAAAGAGGAUGAAAAAGACUGGAGGCUCCGUUGGUACCGGGGACAAGGAUGAAGCACGACGGAAAGGGAGAGCAAGAGGAGAGAAAAAGAGAGUCGCAUGGACGAGGAGUGAAACGUUGGGAGGCAAAUGGGGAGGGAUGAGAGAGGGAGAUGAAAGAAGGGUAGAAAGAGAGAAGGAUAGAUGUAUGGAGGGGCGAAGAGAGGAGAAAUUUCUCGAUCAAAUAAACGCGUUUCGCGGCGCGGGAGAUCGCGACCACGCCCUGUCUUCUUCCCUGCCGACGGCCUUCCGGCGACUUUUCGAGCCGCAGAGACGCGGAGAAAGGAAGAUCACGGUGAACACGCGUCCUCUAUGCUGGUUGCGCGUGCACCAGAUCGUGAAGCUUAAGGAACGUGUUAGAAAAUCAAGGGGUUGAAACCCUUGUUCGAUACUUUGGAAGGAUUAGAACUUGUCUCUGAAAAGGAACAACUUUCGAAAUAUAAGUCUUUUACUUUGUACCUUCGGUUGAGAUUUGAAGAAGUAAGACUGCAUCCCCGGAUAUUCCGGUUGAUCCGAAGGGUUCCACUAACGAGCCGUGCCGGUGCGAGCAGCGUAAUUACAGGGCGUGGCGGAUGUGGCGCCAAUGCUUGGCAAAUACUUCGCCUCUGGAAAUGAAAUUAAUCUGUAUUAAAAGGGACGCUAGUCGAUAACUAAUGCCAAGAAGAAUCUCGUAGCACCCAGUCAAGUUUUCUCUAAUUUUUAAUUGAAAAUAAUUUUCGAAGGAGAUCCACGCGGCACCAAAUAAUUUCAUCCGCAACGCCAGGCUCGUAAAUCCGUCCAGGUUUACCAGAAACACGCUUCUCAAUUCGUCGAGAGGUAUCUGUCGAUCGGUUCGCGAUACGCGUAUCCGUUGGUCGCCGGCUCGAGCGGACCAGGUCCGAUCUCAAAAACGACCUCGAUUUCUAGCGACGCGACGUAUCGUGACGCGGGAUCUCGCGAAGGCCGCGCCGCUACCGUAAGAGACCCGGAAUCGAUCGUACUACUUGUAGAGAUCCUCGAUCGAAACGCAGAUUUUUACCUUGUCCUGCCGCGAAAACACGUGUCUUCUAAUUUAAUUAAUUUUGGAAAUUAAUUAGAAAAAUUCUAAAUGCAUUCUAACUCCGUUUUCCAUGGACCCGGAAUCGAUCGUACUACUUGUAGAGAUCCUCGAUCAAAACGGAGAUUUUUACCCCAUCUCGCCGCGGGAACACGUGUCUUCUUAUUUAAUCAAUUCUGGAAAUUAAUUAGAAAAAUUCUAAAUGAAUUCUAACUCCGUUUGCCAUAGACCCGGAAUCGAUCGUACCACUUGUAGAGAUCCUCGAUCGAAACGGAGAUUUUUACCCCAUCUUGCCGCGAAAACACGUGUCUUCUUAUUUAAUUAAUUUUGGAAAUUAAUUAGAAAAAUUCUAAAUGAAUUCUAACUCCGUUAUCCAUGGAUCCAGAAUCGAUCGUACCACUCGUAGAGAUCCUCGAUCAAAAUGGAGAUUUUAACCCCGUCUUGCCGCGGAAACACGUGUCUUCUUAUUUAAUCAAUUUUGGAAAUUAAUUAGAAAAAUUCUAAAUGAAUUCUAACUCCGUUUUCCAUGGAAUUCGUUUAGCAGACUUUUGGAUGCACUAAUCGAUGCAACUCGAAGAUGCAUUUUGCAUCGGUUAAUGGUCCCUGUGCGUGGUCCGUUGGUGCAGCUAAUUGCUGUUUGACGAGAGAACGCGUUUAUCGUCCCUCUGUGCUCUCGUUCGCCUCGUUUUGAGAUCGCUGGGAUAAAAGCACGUUCACGCUUACCACCGAUGCAGUUUGCUAGAUUUCGACCUGGCUGAUUGCAACGGGGUGGCGAUCGUUCCUUUUCAUCUGUUUGUUUAAUGCAAUUGAAAGAUAGGGUUGAUUGAUAUCGGUAGGAUUAACGAGAUCUAAAAGGGGAAUUGUAUCUUUAUUUCUUUAGGCUGAUUCCUCGUCGUAAAACAAAAGCCGUGCCCGUGAAUUGUGUUUCUGUACACGAUUCCGAGAAUAAAGAACGUUCACCAGGGAAUUUCGUUCGUGUUCCUUAAAAGCCAACCUCCACGGAUCAUUAUCAGAACCGAGGACAGCUAUCGAGCCGACCUUCGAGUUUUUACGUUCGCGGAUUAUAUUAUAGCGCUUCUCACGUUUCUCGAUACGCGGAGCCUGGAAAGAGCUACCUGGCCGAGGCCAUCUCCUCGAUUAUACACGGUGUCCCGAUGGCCGAUUUUAUCACCCGAAAUUCGUUAUCUAUAUCCCCUGGAUAUUUACGUAAUUUAUAAAAUAUGAAAAUUUACGAGAGUCAUAAUUGAAUAUCGAAACCAUCCGUGGUAUUUAUAAAUGAGAAUUCUAACUAUUUUUCUAAAAUUAUUAACCUACUUUGAUAACGAGCGUAAUUAACCGAUUUAUUCGACCAAUUAAUUACCUACGUAUAAAUUGAUAAGUAAGAAGUAUUACAUCUAUUUCCUUCGAAAAACAUCCGUGUAUAAUCGUUCCAUAACCAGCUCCAGUUGGAUCCUCAAAGAUUUCAUUAAAAAGAGAUAAAUCUUCCGGCUGUCAAAUGGCCGAUCGAUGGACAGUCAGAAAAUAGAAGGCAAGGUGAAACGAGAUAAUCCCCAUUAAGUCUGACGUUUAAUACCUGGCCUCGAUGUGUCCGCCGUUGACCCCACCAUGGAACCACAGGAACCGCCGGUACGAUCUCGAUGAAAAACAUUCUCUCCAAUUUGACCGAUUAAUCAGGCAAAGAACCCUGUUAUUUAAACUUUGAUACUUCUUCUGAAAAACGCCGCCGGGUAAAUAAAAGGAGAUACGAGGAGGCAGGAAUUUUACUCGCGCGUCAACUUAUUUUAUCAUUUCCCGGCAAAGGAUUCGCCGUGUUUUCGACCGAGAGAGUCGACGAUAUUAAUCGCGAUAAUCCGGCCGUCCGCGAGGGCAAUAACGAACACUGUUUAUAGAGGAGCCAGCAUAUCCCGGGUACUCGCCAUAUUGUAAGCCCGAAUUACUGUAAACGCGUUUAACUCUCCGCGCCACGAAACGCGCCGAUCCUCCGCUAAUUCCUCCACCGGUUUCCCUUGUAUCCGAUUACCCCGUCGAGCUCGGAUGGUUCGAAACAAAUUUCGGGCAGUUCGUAAAAUUAAAAUACAUAAGGGUAAAAAUGUGCCCGACGAUAAUUUGCCUAAAUCGCUUGUUUCAACAUCGGGAUCAUGAAAAAAGAAGAAGAAUAAGAAAAUAUGUAAGCGCUUCUUCUGUGAUCAAAGGCACCCUCAUAAUUAAGUACCAUAUUUGAAUAUUCCUUAAGGGGCUAUACCAGUGUAACACUUUUGAAAAAUCGAUUUUUUUUUGCAUUUUUUGAAAGUCUAUACUCUCUAGAAUAUCAUAUUAAAAUUUUAAGGUCGAAUCUCAAAUAAUUUAGGAAUGGCAACGUUCUAAAGAGUAACUGCUGGCAUGUCAGAAACGCGCUUAUCGCCGAUGGAUCGCGUUUUUCUCAAAUUUGCUGCAGCUCUAACUCGAAUACAAAUUAUUGCAUCGACUCGAAACUUCUUCAGCGUGUUCAGUACAUGUUUUGCCAUGCCAUGAAUUAGAAUUUUUUUGAUUGGAUGAAAAAUGCCAGUUUGGCAUUAAAAAAACUACGAUUUUUUGAAGCUAAAUUCCAAACACUUCUUCAAAACUUCGCCAUUUCGUCAGAUUUUGAUAUUUUUCAAAAAUCCUAGUUCAUGGUACGGAGAAAAGCUUCUAGUUUAACAUCGUCUUUGUCAUUUUUCAUUUUAAGCACUCAGACGGCGGCAAUCACUGCAGCAGUGGAGCAACUUUUUUUUUUUUC